AGCGAACGCUGGCGGCAGGCCUAACACAUGCAAGUCGAGCGGACGUAGUAAUACGUCAGCGGCAGACGGGAGAGUAACACGUGGGAACGCGCCCUUCGGUUCGGGAUAACUCAGGGAAACUUGGGCUAAUACCGGAUACGCCCUUACGGGGAAAGAUUUAUUGCCGAAGGAACGGCCCGCGUCCGAUUAGCUUGUUGGUGAGGUAACGGCUCACCAAGGCGACGAUCGGUAGCUGGUCUGAGAGGAUGACCAGCCUCACUGGGACUGAGACACGGCCCAGACUCCUACGGGAGGCAGCAGUGGGGAAUAUUGGACAAUGGGCGCAAGCCUGAUCCAGCCAUGCCGCGUGGGUGAUGAAGGCCCUAGGGUUGUAAAGCCCUUUCGGCGGGGAAGAUAAUGACGGUACCCGCAGAAGAAGCCCCGGCUAACUUCGUGCCAGCCGCCGCCGUAAGAC
rnacentral:rRNA from 1 species